CUCUUCUCUUCUCUGCUCUAGAAUAAUCAGUUGUUGAGAGUAGAAACAUCCGGAGGUCAUCAAAAUUUCUAUAUAAGGCUUUCAAAGAUUACCUUUCAGCUCUCUUCCUCUUAGCUGUCGUGUGUUUCAAUUUCAAGUUUGCUUCUCUUUCAGUUUGUGCUCAAAUCUUCUUAUAUUGGACAAUGAUAGACUAAUAUCCCUUCCUUGUGGGCUCAUUGAUGAAGCUACAGUUUAGAAAAUUUUCGACAAGGGGAUGAGGUCCUCAGGAGGGUUUAUUGGAUUGAUUUUUCUUAACACUAGUCAGUAAAUAGAUUGUUUAGUUCCAUCCGAAUUAUCAAAGUCAGGUUCUUGAAUUGCUUUGGUAGCUCUUCAUUUAUAUUGUUCUUUUGUAAUUUUCCACUUCAAGCUGAAUUUAUUGUAAUUAUGUGAGUAUAAAAUUAGCAUAUUAUAGAGAUAUGAAGUUUAGCAAUAGUAUUAUAGAUUAUUGUUUUGUUAAUCUAAGGCAAAUUGAUGAAUACAAA